rnacentral:lncRNA from 1 species
GGUUAAGUUAGAGCGUAGUUGGUUCUCCUAUUUCCCUAUGGAUACAAUAAAACCUUUAACCGGGUAAAAGCUACAACGGUAUCCGUGCGCUUGCAGAUUAUCUGUGUGCGUAUAAAUACCAUAGUACACUCUAGUGCCAUGCUGGGGAUGACAACCUAGUAUUCAAGUGGUGUUAGCAAGGGUCAACAAGCAUUUUUGGCACCGUUGCCAAGGAAACGGUUGCUAAGUUGACUACGAACUAGCUUAAUCAUUUUCUAAAAAAUAAAAAAAAUAUAUUUUUUCCUUUCAUCCUUUGCCUCAUCUCUGCUAUUCUUUCUUCUUAUCUAAUCCUUGAUCUCUGGUCUAUCAUGAAUUCAAACAUGUCUAUCUAUCAGUUUCAUAGACCUACGAGCACACAUCUCGAACCACCAAAAUCAUCAAAGCCUAUCAUAGCAUCUAGUUUUGAGAUAGACGCCGAAUACAUAGAAUUUGUUCAAAAACAACCUUUCUUAGGAGA